UACGUAGGGAGCAAGCGUUGUUCGGAUUUACUGGGCGUAAAGGGCGCGUAGGCGGCAAAUUAAGUCAGCUGUGAAAUCUCCGAGCUUAACUCGGAACUGUCAGCUGAUACUGAUCUGCUAGAGUGCGGAAGGGGCAAUCGGAAUUCUUGGUGUAGCGGUGAAAUGCGUAGAUAUUGGGAGGAACACCGGUGGCGAAGGCGGCCCCCUGGACCGGUACUGACGCUGAGGCGCGAAAGCGUGGGUAGCAAACGGG
rnacentral:rRNA from 1 species